rnacentral:rRNA from 1 species
CCUACGGGAGGCAGCAGUGGGGAAUAUUGGACAAUGGGGGCAACCCUGAUCCAGCCAUGCCGCGUGUGUGAAGAAGGCCCUCGGGUUGUAAAGCACUUUCAGUGAGGAAGAACGCCUGGUGGUUAAUACCCAUCAGGAAAGACAUCACUCACAGAAGAAGCACCGGCUACACUCCGUGCCAGCAGCCGCGGUAAUACGGAGGGUGCGAGCGUUAAUCGGAAUUACUGGGCGUAAAGCGCGCGUAGGUGGCUUGAUAAGCCGGUUGUGAAAGCCCCGGGCUCAACCUGGGAACGGCAUCCGGAACUGUCAAGCUAGAGUGCAGGAGAGGAAGGUAGAAUUCCCGGUGUAGCGGUGAAAUGCGUAGAGAUCGGGAGGAAUACCAGUGGCGAAGGCGGCCUUCUGGACUGACACUGACACUGAGGUGCGAAAGCGUGGGUAGCAAACAGGAUUAGAUACCCCUGUAGUC